AUUGAACGCUGGCGGCAGGCCUAACACAUGCAAGUCGAGCGGAUGAUGGGAGCUUGCUCCUGGAUUCAGCGGCGACGGGUGAGUAAUGCCUAGGAAUCUGCCUGGUAGUGGGGGACAACGUUUCGAAAGGAACGCUAAUACCGCAUACGUCCUACGGGAGAAAGCAGGGGACCUUCGGGCCUUGCGCUAUCAGAUGAGCCUAGGUCGGAUUAGCUUGUUGGUGAGGUAAUGGCGCACCAAGGCGACGAUCCGUAACUGGUCUGAGAGGAAGAUCAGUCACACUGGAACUGAGACACGGUCCAAACUCCUACGGGAGGCAGCAGUGGGGAAUAUUCGACAAUGGGCGAAAGCCUGAUCCAGCCAUGCCGCGUGUGUGAAGAAGGUCUUCGGAUUGUAAAGCACUUUAAGUUGGGAGGAAGGGUUGUAGAGUAAUACUCUGCAAUUUUGACGUUACUCGCAGAAGAAGCACCGGCUAACUCUGUGCCAGCCGCCGCGGUAAGAC
rnacentral:rRNA from 1 species